rnacentral:rRNA from 2 species
UGGGGAAUAUUGGGCAAUGGGCGCAAGCCUGACCCAGCAACGCCGCGUGAAGGAAGAAGGUUUUCGGAUUGUAAACUUCUGUCCUAUGUGAAGAGAAGUAGACGGUAGCAUAGGAGGAAGCCCCGGCUAACUACGUGCCAGCAGCCGCGGUAAUACGUAGGGGGCAAGCGUUGUCCGGAAUGAUUGGGCGUAAAGGGCGCGUAGGCGGCCUGUUAAGUCUGGAGUGAAAGUCCUGUUUUCAAGAUGGGAAUUGCUUUGGUUACUGAUGGGCUUGAGUGCAGGAGAGGUUAUCGGAAUUCCCAGUGUAGCGGUGAAAUGCGUAGAGAUUGGGAGGAACACCAGUGGCGAAGGCGGGUAACUGGACUGCAACUGACGCUGAGGCGCGAAAGUGUGGGGAGCAAACAGG